UUACAAAAGGACUGUACCAAUUUACACUUCCACUUACAAAGGAUGAGAGCGCCUCUAUUAAAAUGCUUAAAGGCACUGCUUCCCCGAGCUCUUAUAAAUCACUGGCUAAGGCUGGCUUCUGUUUGUCAUAUGGUCGCAGCCAUCACAAAAUAAAUAAAUACACAUUUCUCUAUAGCUCUAAAAACAUGGCAUGCACAGACUGCCAAACAACCACAGACUAACUCUGAUUACACGAGGAAACCGGGUCUACUUGUUGAAAAUGUGGUAAUGAGAUAGUUUCCACCCAGACGGGAAGCUCGGUUCUGGCGGGGGAGGGGCGCCCGCAUUUCUUCUGGUCUCGGUCUACCCACCCCGAGGAAGGUAGAAAUGAUCAGUUGUCAAAGAAGCCAAAGGGAUUCGUUAAGCGGACGGGCUGUUUUAGAACGGAGACGUUCGGAGACAAUAAUGACUAAGGUCAUUUUGGCUGAUGUUUACUGAGCUGAUGGCCGUGUGCCAGGCACCGUUUUAAGGUUUGGUUGUGAUUAGCUCCUGUGACCUUCCAGAGCGGGCCCCGUGCAGCGGGCGGCGAUGUUCUUCCCAUUGUACAGGUGCCUCUCCGGUCUCGCUUGACCUCCAGUUUGGAGAAGGUGUCCAAAGAACCCUGAAAGGCAGGAGAUCUGGAGUCUACUGGGGACUUUGGAGGACUUGGAGGAAGAGUAAGCAGUAUUGUUCCGAGCCAGGUGGGCUGGCAAACUCCGAGAGAAGUCUCCAGGCUCCAGACGCUGCCUCCACUUCUGAAAGGUGAUUUCUGCGAUUUAUUUUUAUCAUCU